UACGGAGGGUGCAAGCGUUACUCGGAAUUACUGGGCGUAAAGAGUGUGUAGGCGGUUUGGUAAGUCGGGUGUGAAAUCCCUGGGCUCAACCCAGGAACUGCGCUUGAUACUGCCAGACUUGAGUACGAGAGAGGGUAGUAGAAUUCCCGGUGUAGAGGUGAAAUUCGUAGAUAUCGGGAGGAAUACCGGUGGCGAAGGCGGCUACCUGGAUCGAUACUGACGCUGAGACACGAAAGCAUGGGGAG
rnacentral:rRNA from 1 species